rnacentral:rRNA from 1 species
UACAGAGGUCUCAAGCGUUGUUCGGAUUCAUUGGGCGUAAAGGGUGCGUAGGCGGCGCGGUAAGUCGGGUGUGAAAUCUUGGAGCUUAACUCCGAAACUGCAUUCGAUACUGCCGUGCUUGAGGACUGGAGAGGAGACUGGAAUUUACGGUGUAGCGGUGAAAUGCGUAGAUAUCGUGAGGAAGACCAGUUGCGAAGGCGGAUCUCUGGACAGUUCCUGACACUGAGGCACGAAGGCCAGGGGAGCAAACGGG